rnacentral:sRNA from 13 species
GCUGAGGAGCUCUGGGCUGCAGCACACUAUGUAGAACGGGUGUCCACGCUAAGUUCGGUAUCGAUAUGGUGUUCCUGGGGGAGCCUGGGACCACCAGGUUGUCUAAGGAGGGGUGAACCGGCCCAGGUCGGAAACAAAGCAGGUCAAAUCCCCUUGCUGUCCAGUAGUGGGAUAAUACCUGUGAGUAGAUGCUGCAGUGCAGCCUUGGC